rnacentral:rRNA from 1 species
GUGAUAUGGAGCAAAACCCUAAAAAACGGUACUCAGUUCGGAUUGAAGGCUGAAAUUCGCCUUCAUGAAGCUGGAAUUGCUAGUAAUGGCAGGUCAGCAUACUGCCGUGAAUACGUUCCCGGGCCUUGUACACACCGCCCGUCACACCAUGAGAGUUGGGGAUACCCGAAGCCUGUGAGCUAACUUUUAGAGGCAGCAGUCGAAGGUAGAAUCAAUGAUUGGGGUGAAGUCGUAACAAGGUAGC